GUAGAUAGUACGGAGGAACACCAGUGGCGAAGGCGGAUUGCUGGACAGUAACUGACGCUGGAGGCGACGAAAGGCGGUGGGGAGACAAACAGGAUUAGACUACCGUGGUAGUCCACGACCGUAACGAUGGAUACUAGGUGGGUCGGGGGUGUCCGACCCCCUCGUCGCCGCUAAGUUAACCACAAUAAGUACUCCCACCGGUGGGAGUACGAUCACGUAGGUAGAACUACGAAAGUAUGGAGGGGCCCGCACAAGCGGUGGAGUAUGUGGUUUAAUUCGAAGCAACGCGAAGAACCUUACCAGGGCUUGACAUCCCGGUGGCCGCUCUAGAG
rnacentral:rRNA from 1 species